CAAUCCAUAUUUGGACAUGUUUAGCUCCCGGAAUUUAACCCGGAAGUGACUGCUCCAAAACUGUCUUUUUCACAGUUUUCUUAACUUUGUGUAGUUUGGUAAAAAUCCCAUAACUUGCUCCUCCGAUAUCGGAUUUAGUCCGUUUUGGAGUCUAUGGAAAGCUUAUUGAGUGUACUAUAACAUAUCACAAGUCCAGAAUUUUUAGAGCACCCUAACAAAUCCGAAAAUUUCUAUUUAGGGCAGCAGUCCACUAAUUCAUUUAAAACAAAAAAACUGUUUUGGUUCUUUUCUUUGUUCAAGCUUAUCAACCCUAAAAAUGGCAAGAUCUAACCAUAAAAUAUCAUAUAUCAUGUAGAUCUUCUCUCAUAUGAUUCAAAAUCAUAAGUUCAACACUUGAUCUAAAACACCAUAUCAAAACACUUUUUAAAAGUUUAACUUUUCCGGAACAUUUCCAUUUUUCUAUUCCUUUGAUUCCAACCAAAAUCAACACCCAAUAUUGUUAGAUCUAAACAUGAUACACUCAUCAACAUGUAUAUACA
rnacentral:lncRNA from 1 species